UGAGAACUUUGAAGACUGAAGUGGAGAAAGGUUUGACGUGAACAGCAAUUGGACGUCAGUGAGCCGCUCCUAAGAGAUAGGGAAACUCCGUUCAGAAGUUGGGCUUUCCUCGGACAGCUCCGCCUAUCGAAAGGGAACACGGUUAAUAUUCCGUGGCCGGGACGUGGAUAACGUGUGGCAACACAAGCGAGCUCGGAGACGCCAGAGGGAACCCCGGGAAGAGUUUUCUUUUCUUGUUAACAGUCUAUUACCCUGGAAUCAGUUUAGCUGGAGAUAGGGUUAAAUGGCUGGGAAAGCAGGUGGAUUUUCCGCCUGUCCGGAGCGUUCUCGACGGCCCUUGAAAAUCCGAGUGAGAGACUUAUUUGCACCCCCGGGCGUACUCAUAACCGCAUCAGGUCUCCAAGGUGUGCAGCC
rnacentral:rRNA from 1 species